rnacentral:rRNA from 1 species
UACGUAGGGGGCUAGCGUUGCUCAGAAUCACUGGGCGUAAAGGGUGCGUAGGUGGCAUGGUAAGUUUGAUGUGAAAGCUCAGGGCUUAACCCUGAAAUGGCAUUGAAUACUACUGUGCUGGAGGUUUGGAGGGGGGACUGGAAUUCUUGGUGUAGCAGUGAAAUGCGUAGAUAUCAAGAGGAACACCAGUGGCGAAGGCGAGUCCCUGGACAACACCUGACACUGAGGCACGAAAGCUAGGGGAGCAAACGGG